rnacentral:rRNA from 1 species
GAUGAACGCUGGCGGCGUGCCUAAUACAUGCAAGUCGAGCGAACAGACGAGGAGCUUGCCUCUCUGACGUUAGCGGCGGACGGGUGUGUAACACGUGGAUAACCUACCUAUAAGACUGGGAUAACUUGGGGAAACCGGCGCUAAUAACGGCAAAUAUAUUGAACCGCAUGGUUCAAUAGUGAAAGACGGUUUUGCUGUCACGUAUCGGUGGUUCCACGCCGCAUUAGCUAGUUGGUAAGGUAACGGCUUACCAAGGCGACGAUGGGUAGCCGACCUGAGAGGAUGAUCGGCCACACUGGAACUGAGACACGGUCCAGACUCCUACGGGAGGCAGCAGUAGGGAAUCUUCCGCAAUGGGCGAAAGCCUGACGGAGCAACGCCGCGUGAGUGAUGAAGGUCUUCGGAUCGUAAAACUCUGUUAUUAGGGAAGAACAAAUGUGUGAUUAACUAGGCACGUCUUGACGGUACCUAAUCAGAAAGCCACGGCUAACUACGUG